CAGCAGCCGCGGUAAAACGAAGGGUGCAAGCGUUACUCGGAAUUACUGGGCGUAAAGCGUGCGUAGGUGGUUGUUUAAGUCUGCUGUGAAAGCCCUGGGCUCAACCUGGGAAUUGCAGUGGAUACUGGGCAACUAGAGUAAGGUAGAGGAUAGUGGAAUUUCCGGUGUAGCAGUGAAAUGCGUAGAGAUCGGAAGGAACAUCUGUGGCGAAGGCGACUAUCUGGGCCAUUACUGACACUGAGGCACGAAAGCGUGGGGAGCAAACAGGAUUAGAUACCCGUGUAGUCCCUGUCUCUUAUAU
rnacentral:rRNA from 1 species